rnacentral:rRNA from 1 species
CCUACGGGUGGCUGCAGUGGGGAAUCUUGCACAAUGGGGGAAACCCUGAUGCAGCGACGCCGCGUGAGCGAUGAAGUAUUUCGGUAUGUAAAGCUCUAUCAGCAGGGAAGAAAAUGACGGUACCUGACUAAGAAGCACCGGCUAAAUACGUGCCAGCAGCCGCGGUAAUACGUAUGGUGCAAGCGUUAUCCGGAUUUACUGGGUGUAAAGGGAGCGUAGACGGAGUGGCAAGUCUGAUGUGAAAACCCGGGGCUCAACCCCGGGACUGCAUUGGAAACUGUCAAUCUAGAGUACCGGAGAGGUAAGCGGAAUUCCUAGUGUAGCGGUGAAAUGCGUAGAUAUUAGGAGGAACACCAGUGGCGAAGGCGGCUUACUGGACGGUAACUGACGUUGAGGCUCGAAAGCGUGGGGAGCAAACAGGAUUAGAUACCCUAGUAGUC